GCAGACACAUUCCAGCCAAUCAGCAGCAGACCCUCCCUCCCAGACCCUCCCACCUCCUGGACAGCAUCCAUUUUACAUUCAUUGUGAAGCUGCAUUCUUAGUGAGCUGUCCAGGAGGUGGGAGGGUCUGGGAGGGAGGGUCUGCUGCUGAUUGGCUGGAAUGUGUCU